CGUCCCGUCGACCGGCGGCGACGGUGCAGGAUCCGUCUCCCAGGCGGGUUCCGAGCGGUCCGCGGCCGGGUUCGACUCCGGGCGCGGCGU
rnacentral:tRNA from 1 species